UACGGAGGGGGCUAGCGUUGUUCGGAAUUACUGGGUGUAAAGCGCGUGUAGGCGGCAGACCAAGUCGGCGGUGAAAGCGCCCGGCUCAACUGGGCGAGGUCCGUGGAAACUGGUCAGCUGGAGGACGGUAGAGGCGAGUGGAAUUCCCGGUGUAGUGGUGAAAUGCGUAGAGAUCGGGAGGAACACCUGUGGCGAAGGCGGCUCGCUGGGCCGGUCCUGACGCUGAGACGCGAAGGCGUGGGGAGCGAACGGG
rnacentral:rRNA from 1 species